GGGGGGGGGGGGGGGGGGGGGGGGGGGGGGGGGGGGGGGGGGGGGGGCGCGGCGUGGGGGGGGGGCGCGGGGGGGGGGCGGGGGAGGGGCGCGUGAGGAACCUGCCCUGGACUGUGGGAUAACUUCAGGCAACUGGGGCUAAUACCGGAUAGGCGCUCCUGCUGCAUGGUGGGGGUUGGAAAGUGUCGGCGGUUGGGGAUGGACUCGCGGCUUAUCCGCUUGUUGGUGGGGUAGUGGCUUACCAAGGCUUUGACGGGUAGCCGGCCUGAGAGGGUGACCGGCCACAUUGGGACUGAGAUACGGCCCAGACUCCUACGGGAGGCAGCAGUGGGGAAUAUUGCACAAUGGGCGGAAGCCUGAUGCAGCAACGCCGCGUGCGGGAUGACGGCCUUCGGGUUGUAAACCGCUUUCGCCUGUGACGAAGCGUGAGUGACGGUAAUGGGUAAAGAAGCACCGGCUAACUACGUG
rnacentral:rRNA from 1 species